rnacentral:rRNA from 1 species
ACUCCUACGGGAGGCAGCAGUGGGGAAUAUUGCACAAUGGGGAAACCCUGAUGCAGCCAUGCCGCGUGUGUGAAGAAGGCCUUCGGUUGUAAAGCACUUUCAGUAGGGAGGAAGGUAGUGUAGUUAACACCUGCAUUAUUUGACGUUACCUACAGAAGAAGCACCGGCUAACUCCGUGCCAGCAGCCGCGGUAAUACGGAGGGGUGCGAGCGUUAAUCGGAAUUACUGGGCGUAAAGCGCAUGCAGGCGGCCUGUUAAGUCAGAUGUGAAAGCCCGGGGGCUUAACCUCGGAAUUGCAUUUGAAACUGGCAGGCUAGAGUCUUGUAGAGGGGGUAGGAAUUUCAGGUGUAGCGGUGAAAUGCGUAGAGAUCUGAAGGAAUACCAGUGGCGAAGGCGGCCCCCUGGACAAAGACUGACGCUCAGAUGCGAAAGCUGGGGAGC